CUUUGCUCCGUGGCGCAGUCCAAUGAGAGCCCGGGCUGGGCGCGAGAGCCGGCGCUGGGGCGAUGCCAGCCCCUGCCCGCAGGAGCCUCUCAGCGCGGCGGGGGGGGGCAGGCCCGCUCCGCUCCGUCCGGCAGCACCUCCCCUCAGGCCGCCUCGGCGGCCAGGACAGGGCUGAAGCCGAAGCGCCGAGCUCCCCGGGGGCUGUUCUGAGCGGGGGAAGGGCUCGGCCGCGGCCCUCCGCGCAGGCGGUGGCUCCUCCUGUGGCGAGGAGGCCUCCGCGGACCCGAAUCGACGCUAACCAGUCCCGGCUGAUCCCUCGCCCCGGUGACUGACAUUUGCAAAACAGAAGGACGAUUGCUUCGGAGGCGAAGUCACUGGCCGAAAUCUCCAAUCAGGCGGCGGGGGCGAGUGGAAGGGUGUCGCCUGUCCAAUCUCUGGGCCUGUAUCUCAAACUGAGCAGGGUUGUCUAGACACAGAAUUUGGACAGGAGGCCUUCAAGGAGCACCUAUGGGCUGCAGGAAGAAGUGCAGGUGAUUCAGGAAGAGUGCUAACACUGCCCCAGCGCUGCAUCUUUAGCCGAGGACAGUUGAGAAGGAACUGAAGGGCUUGGGUUGUGCAUGUGCUACAUGCGGCACCAACAGGACCGCAAGAUGCCGCCUGCACAUGCAUGACCCAUGUGGACACUGCUACUAUAAAUCUCUGAUCGAAAGCACUGGGACACACCGACACCUGAAGUGGAACACCCACCAGGACAGCGCUUGAAGUAGUCCCAAGCUGUAUAGUAUCUACAUGAAGAAAACCUAGGUAAGUUGUAAACUCUGGGAGGUGUCCAAGGGGACAUAAGGCUCCAAGUAUUUUUCUUUGAUUGAACUAGGUUCCUCCUCAUCAGGAGUUGCAGCAGAAUGGGAUUGACCUACUUAUCUUGGAUCCAAAGCCACAAUACUGAGCUCAGUUCCAGGUGCUCCACAGAUCAGAUGAUGGCACCAGUCUAGCCUUGAAACAAACUACUUUCAGCACUAAGGGUUCAUCUGCACAAUGCUGAGGGGAUAACUGUUUCAGAGGAGAUUUUGGAGGAACCAAUCCAAUGGAUCCAAAAGGGAAGUAGCCAGGGUUCAUCAGCACCGACAGUCCCAAGUCAUUCAGCAUCCCCUUCCCCAUUGCUUUCAAAGAAUGUUGACUCCUAGUACCUUGGACAAACAGGUCUGAUGGGUAAAGGAUAACUGAUCCAACCUGCUUGGAUCAGAAGAGGCCCUGUUUUCGUGGGAAUCUUGUGGCCCACAGAAGCAAACUGCAAUGAGGUCCACCUGGAUGAGACAACAGAUCUCUGUGGGAACACCAUUUUGCUGCAUUAUAUGGCCUCUUGGAGCUCCUGGAACUGUAAAAGGUGUUUUCUUCAGCUUCCUCUGAAGAACUCUGAUCUUUAGUUGGAAGAACUUCCUUCGAUGGUUCGAGAAGUGUUUGCAACAGGACUGGAAUUUUGGAUCAGGUUUUGGAACUGAUGGAGGCUCAACAGCCACACUGUUUGUAUGUGGGGUGAACACUUUAGGAGAAGGUCACCCAGACUCAUGUUACUAGUCCCUUGCAGGAGCAAGUUCCAGAGAGGAAUUUUAUGGUCAUCUUGGGCAAGGCCUUGCAGGCAUCACAGCCCUUUGCUAAAUGCCUGAGAAAUGAGAACUAAAAAGGUACUUUUCAUGCCCAUCUGAAAGGGGAAACAUAGUGGGGCAAGGAGAACACUCCUUAAACCCUGUUUUCCUACACAGGUCCAUUAUCUUGGGCAUGGCCUGAGAACAUAAAACCAACAAAAAAUUGAUGAGAACUAGAAAAAAAAUCAAACUCAAGUCUACAGUAUGUCUAUCUAAAUGUCUUACAAACUAUUUACAACUAUUUUAUGCGAACAAACAUACAGGAGAAAGAAGUUGGUUCUGUGACUGUUCCAGUAGGUGGAUAGAGAAACUGCCAGUGGGCAUGGAGUAUUUAUACACCAGUAUAUGAAAUGUAGGCCACUUGGUAUAUAUGCACACACCCUUCAACAGCCAAAAAUGCUUCUGUGGCCACAUAGUUAGACAUAUAUUUACACUGGGUUUCUGUGGAGGCUGUGUCAUGAAAGAAAAGUACAUUUUCACUUUUUUUGUCCAUUAAUAGAAAGAACAGAAAAUGCUUAACACAAUUAAUAUUAACAAUAAAGGGGAAGGAACUCAGACCAAAAUAGGGAAAGAAGAGCUUAAAGAAUACUUAGGCUAUGUCGACACUAUGCACCUUUUAGCGACACACCUGUGCCGCUACAGCCACGCUGCUAAAAGGCGCGCAGUGUAGCUGCUGUUCGUCGGCAGGCUGCCAUAAAAAAAAUGGAGAAAAGUUGUUCUCUUUUGCCAUAGAGAGCAGGAGAAGAGGCAAUGGGUUCAAACUACAGC